AUGCAGAGAACUUUCCAGAGAUGGAUUGGUGCCUUCGGGAACUCUGACACAGGUGCUGCAUGGCUGUCGUCAGCUCGUGUCGUGAGAUGUUGGGUUAAGUCCCGUAACGAGCGCAACCCUUGUCCUUAGUUACCAGCACGUUAUGGUGGGCACUCUAAAGGGACUGCCGGUGUUAAACCGGAGGAAGGUGGGGAUGACGUCAAGUCCUCAUGGCCUUUAUGACCAGGGCUACACACGUACUACAAUGGCCGAUACAAAGGGCAGCGACACUGCGAGGUGAAGCCAAUCCCGUAAAAUCGGUCUCAGUCCGGAUUGGAGUCUGCAACUCGACUCCAUGAAGUUGGAAUCGCUAGUAAUCGUGGAUCAGCAUGCCACGGUGAAUACGUUCCCGGGCCUU
rnacentral:rRNA from 1 species